CCUGGUCUUGGGUUGGGGCGGCCCCCGCUUACUGCCCCCUGCCCAGGCUGGUGUGCACCCCCUCUGGCUGCUUCAGCGCCUUCUCUUUCUCCUUGGCAGGACAGGCGCAGACAUGUUACCAGGUGUUACCGGGUGUUAUGCUUAGCUCCGCACCCAGUGAGAUUCUCUG
ensembl:misc_RNA